rnacentral:tRNA from 4 species
GGGAGUAGCUCAGUUGGUAGAGCGUCAGCCUUCCAAGCUGAGGGUCGCGAGUUCGAAUCUCGUCUCCC